rnacentral:tRNA from 4 species
GCCGGGAUGGUGAAAUUGGCAGACACUGCAGAUUUAAGCUCUGCUGCUCGCAAGAGCGUGGGAGUUCGACUCUCCCUCCCGGCA